rnacentral:rRNA from 1 species
AACGAACGCUGGCGGUGUGCCUCAUACAUGCAAGUCGUACGCGAAUCCUGCCGCAAGGCAGGGUUUGAGUGGCAAACGGGUGCGUAACACGUAGGUAAUCUUCCUUUGAGUUGGGGAUAAGCCCUCGAAAGGGGGUCUAAUACCGAAUAACACUUCGGGCCGGCAUCGGCCUGAAAUUAAAGAUGGCCUCUGCUUGCAAGCUAUCGCUCGGAGAUGAGCCUGCGGCCGAUUAGUUAGUUGGCGGGAUAAAAGCCCACCAAGACUUCGAUCGGUAGCCGGUCUGAGAGGAUGUCCGGCCACACUGGGACUGAGAUACGGCCCAGACUCCUACGGGAGGCAGCAGUAGGGAUAUUGCGCAAUGGCCGCAAGGCUGACGCAGCAACACCGC